UACGUAGGUGGCAAGCGUUGUCCGGAUUUACUGGGCGUAAAGAGCGCGCAGGCGGUCGUUCAAGUCGCGUGUGAAAGCCCCCCGGCUCAACUGGGGAGGGUCACGCGAUACUGAUCGACUCGAAGGCAGGAGAGGGAAGUGGGAAUUCCCGGUGUAGUGGUGAAAUGCGUAGAUAUCGGGAGGAACACCAGUGGCGAAGGCGACUUCCUGGCCU
rnacentral:rRNA from 1 species